rnacentral:rRNA from 1 species
AGCGAACGCUAGCGGCAGGCCUAACACAUGCAAGUCGAACGAACCCUUCGGGGUUAGUGGCGGACGGGUGAGUAACACGUGGGAACGUGCCUUUAGGUUCGGAAUAACUCAGGGAAACUUGUGCUAAUACCGAAUGUGCCCUUCGGGGGAAAGAUUUAUCGCCUUUAGAGCGGCCCGCGUCUGAUUAGCUAGUUGGUGAGGUAAUGGCUCACCAAGGCUACGAUCAGUAGCUGGUCUGAGAGGAUGACCAGCCACAUUCGGGACUGAGACACGGCCCAAACUCCUACGGGAGGCAGCAGUGGGGAAUCUUGCGCAAUGGGCGAAAGCCUGACGCAGCCAUGCCGCGUGGAUGAUGAAGGUCUUAGGAUUGUAAAAUCCUUUCACCGGUGAAGAUAAUGACUGUAGCCGGAGAAGAAGCCCCGGCUAACUUCGUGCCAGCAGCCGCCGUAACAC